rnacentral:rRNA from 1 species
AUGCUCCCGCACAGCUCGCUCGAUCCCCUUUCUCCUCUCGCUUUCCUGUCUCUCUCUCCACAAUACACCGCCGCCGCCGCCUUCACCGCCACCGCCGAUUCCUCCUGGGCAUGGCCGUCUCCGGCGCCGCCAUCAAUAGACGGGACUCCACCUCGCCCCACUCUACCGAUUUCCCGCCCUAGUCGCAGCUCUACGCCCCCGCUUGCGCCCGCACAGAUAACCCUAGAGUGUAGGUCGUGGGGGAGGACGGAGAAGAGGUCAUGGGGGAGGAAGAAGAGGAGGACAUGGAGGCCACGGGGGAGGAAGAAGAUGGCCCCCUCAUUCCCGAAGUUGGUCUUCGCAUCAACUGUGCUCGCUCCGCCUCUGCUUCCAGCGACCACGCCCGCCACAGUCUGUCACACAUAUCCAGUUGGAAUGCUAUGA